rnacentral:rRNA from 1 species
AAGGUUUCCGWAGGUGAACCUGCGGAAGGAUCAUU